CCUUCCUUGAUUCCACAUCAUUCCUUUAGUUACUGUACCAUUUAUCUUCUCCUUGUCAUAGCAAAACUUGACAAAAUUAUCCCUGUUUCCAUUUUCAUCUACCAUUCAAACCAAUUCAACUGUCCUCCAAUCUUACCAUGUUCUGGUCAAGAUCAACAACAGCUUCUCUGUUACCAAAUCUAAGUCAUUUUUCUUUCUGCAUCCAACUCAAACUCUGAGUAAGUAUUUGGCCCUGCUGCCCACUCCCUCUUUCUUGAAAUUCUAUAAUUUCUUCCUUAAUUGGACAAAAUGGGCACCAACUAACUAAAAAAUUCAGGAAUCAGUACUAUUGUCCUGGAAGUCUCAGCCAGUCACAAAUCAGAAUGUUUCUCAUGGACAGGUGUACAGAUUUUUGGAUCAUUUCAUUAACCUUACAAUAAUGUGGCCUACAUUUUACACAGAUCAUACUUUUAUCAAAUUAUGCCAAGGUUACUAUUAUUCACAUCAUGUACCACCCGUUGCUAAGGAUACUAGAGUGGUUUUCUAUGAAACCACUACAAAAUUCAAACUCUUUCCCUGACCUACAAUGACCUGUGACCAGGCCUCUGCCCACCUCCCCCUUGCCUAAUGUCCCUUCAGGAGGCUCCUUUCACACUGGCUUCAUUGCUUCCAGGACACCUCAGGUCUGUUCCUGUCUUACCACCUUUAUACAGGCUGUUUCCUCUGGAACUCCAUAUUCUUUCUGCCAUUCAGAUCAAGGCUUAGAUGUCACCUCCUCAGCGAGGCCCUCCUUACCAGGCCAUCUGAAGUGACCCUCCAGUCACUCUUAAUCACCUAAUCCUGUUUUAUGUCUGGUAUUUUGUUGUUAACUCACAUGUUGGUUUGUGGUUUACCCUCCCUCACUGGAAUGUAGGUUUCAAGUGAGCUUGUACCUUAUCUGUCUUAGUCUCCUCUGUAUCCAAGCCUUUAAUACAGUAACUGGCAUAGUGUGGGCUUCAAUAAAUAUCUGGUUAAUGAGUCUACAGGUUGUAAGAUUUGAACCCCAACAAAAGCUGGUAAACAGUAAAAUUCUAAUGUUACCAAAGUCCCAAAUAAGAGAUAUUACAGGAAGAGUUGCUAUAUAUAUUUUUAAGAAUUGAUGGGGUAUAAAUAAAUUUUAAGAACACCAAAAAAACCACCUAAACUAAGAACCACUCUGGAGACCGAGUCUGCAGAAAAGUGAAAGAUAUGCUUCAAAAAGCUAAAUAUAAGAGAACACACUUAGGUAAAAGCAACCAAAUCAUAUGAUGAUAUGCUCACCAAGAGAUUAAUUUUGAUGAGCUAUGCCUUGAGCCCAUCAGCCCAGGGUGCUACUACAGUGAUGAAGGUCAACAAGAUUCCAGAAAUGAUCAGGAAAUAAGUAGAAAAAAGGAGAAAAUUCUGUCUUUGUACAGUGCCAUGUUAUGCCUGCACCUACAGCCCUAAGAAUAGUUUUAGUUGUUAUACAUCAGAAGUAACAUAAUAGAGCUGAAACGUUUGGGGACAGGAAUCUAAAAUGGACAGGAGGGGAACUGUAUAAAGGCAGAACUCAAAAAUCAGUCCCAGACUCAAAGGUUUCAGGGGAUAUGUGAUUUAAGUCUAUGAAAUCAUGAAAAGCACGAUAAGACAAUCUCAUUUUUACCAGAUCCCAAGACUUCAACAGUAAAAUAAUAUCAGGAUACGUGGACAUUUUUAAAAGGAAAUUUUCAGAUAACAGAAAGGAAAUAAUACAUUUAUAGACUAUAGUAUGCCAAGAAAUAUAAGAAAUAAAAAUACCCGCGUUUGGAUAAAAUCUAUUACAGACUUCAAAUCUAUUUUUAACAUUCUGACCUCACAGAGGUAAGUAUUUUUAUCAUCAUCACUCUAUUUUAUAGAUCAGGGAAAAAGGCUCAGAAAGUCAUCCAGCUAAUAAGGAACAGAAGUGGAAUUUAAACUCUGACCUCAACUUCAGUUUUUUAAAAUUUGUCCUCUUCUCUAGGCUGCUUCUAGGAAAUUACAAAUGAAAAUUCAAAGAAAAUUUUCUAAACUUUCUUUGAACCUAAGUUAUUAAUUCUACAAGGAGUCACAAAGGAAACCGCAAGAGAACAUAUGAACCUUUCAGAUUGAUGUUAGGAGUGUCCCUUACAUCAUUCCUAUUCAUGGACUCCAGGGCUGGGCACAUAGAUAAUUAAUCUGCCCCAAUGUCAUGAUUUCAUAUUUUAGUAUAUAUACUCGUAAGAAUUUCAUCUUACAUAUAUAUGUAAUAUACAUAUAUAAAAUACAAGCAUUUCAUAUCUCUCCCUCUUACUUCCUCCCUCUCUAUAUCUAUCUAUCUAUCUAUCUAAUUGCUGUCAAAAUCUCACAGCACUUUUCCAGAAAUGUGACAAUCUGUGGAGAAGACAUCAAGCUAUACUGGGUUCUGCCAUGAACAGCUCCUUGAAUUGCUCAUCUGAUUUUUCUCAUGGGCCAGGGAACUAUUAUACAGAAAUGCCUUUAUCAUUGCCGGAUUUAGUUACAACUUUCCAUAAUCUUAUUUGGUAUCAAGAAAGGGUCAGAAGAAAAGAACGACGACCUUAAUUUACUGGACAUACCUAUGCAAUUAUACCUUUCGUUACAGGUAAAUAAUUCGUAAAAAAGCUUAUUCUCUCAAGCUAGUACCAAAGAGGACCAGGGAGGGGGUGGGGAAGGACAGAGAACUGGACUGUUGGUCCUUGGAUCUAAACUUUGAUCAUCGUAAAUGGACUGUGACAUGUCAUCACACCCUCCUCAGCCAAGAGUAUUCCUAUCUGCAAAACAGUCAGCUUUGGAGAGAUCUCUAAGCUCUAAAAUUAGAUGAUUCUCUCAUUCUCAGUCUGUCACCAACUUCUCUUUUAAGGGAUACUUGAUAUUUCUGCUAAUUAGAAGAUAAUAAUGCUUCACCUUCCCAUGACUAAGACUUUGGCCAGUGCUCUUGCUUCUAGCCAUCAGCAUCUUUUGUUGCAGUUUCCAGAAGACGCUAGUACACUGCUGCAUCUGGAGGGGGCCCUCCCAGGAGCACCCACUCAUGCCCCUUCCAGAUUUCAGUUCUGCAAUCCUAUCUUCCACGUACUCAUCUUGGAGCUCGUGACAUUUAUACUCAGCAACACAACUAUAUUUUCCAUCAUCUUCAGUAGUUGGAUAUUAAAUGUCUUUCAUAUUAGAAUAGUAUUUGUACACAAUAAUCACAAACUCAUUCCAGCUCUAUUUUUGCAUUCGGCCCUGUCAUUCCUUGAACUGAUAUUACUGCAGAACCACAUCUGUAACCAAAGCCCAAACCUCAUGUCGGAGGCAGUAUUCCCCUUUGGGAAAUCGAGGCUUCCUAACAAGGAAAGUGAGGCUGCAAAAUACAGGGUUACAUAUUUCCAGUGCCUCAGCAGAAAUCUCUCUACCUACACAAACACAAGGUUUGAAGAGCCUCACAGCAAUUGUAAAAUAAUGAUUUGAAAGAUUAACAUUUUAAAGGAAUUUAAAAUCCCCAAGUUCAACUGCAUUUUUCCAAUCCAACAAAAAUAUGAUGAAAUUAGUAGCAGCUCUAUGUUUUUUGAGGCAUCUUUCACAUUCCUGGCACGAACGGCAGCCUGACAGCUUCAGUUACCACAGUGUUAUUUAACUCUGUUGAAGUGAACUUAGGACACCGUCUGCUUCACCUGCCCCAAGUCACAAACGCAAAAACAAAGGUCUGGAGUUCAGAAAUCUGGUUGCUACGGAGCUGGUUCCCUGGAAUUCCCACGGUCCUCAACUGAACUUCCUGCUUCUUCCCACUGCUUAGAGUUAUGUCAGAAACUUUUUAUUCAUAUUUUAAGUAAGUCCCAAAGACAAGUAGCUUUCAAACUGAUUCCAUGAAGAGGAAAAGGAGUAAUAAGCAGCAGGAAGAUUUCAACUCCCGCAGACAUACACAGAGAAAGCUUAUGUGAAUUGUGCAGAGUGCUGAAAAGCACCCCAUCCUUUCCCUUCUCUACAUACAGAGGAAAAAAACAAAACUUCAAAUCUGCCUAGUGAUACAGAAAAAGAGUCAGCCCAUUGAAAGACUAAAGAGACAGCAGGUACUCAAGAACCCUAAACCUCUGAAGAGCUCUGAAAAACGAAGAGAGGAACAGCUCACAUCUUGUUGGAGGUGACCAGGAAGAACAGGAGGAAGGUGGCAUUGCAGAUAGCUCUCAAAGGAGGCAUUCCAAGCAAAGUUCUAAGUGCCAGGCUACUAUGCGAACUCCAGGUAUCACAGCUGAUGGAGAGGCUGUUAGUACAGUGUAAGAUGCAGUGGUAUGAACUGACCAGAACAAACCGCAGUCCAUUUCUACACAAUGGACCUGUCUCUCAGGUUCUUUUUGUGGCUGAGAUCACUGUCCCUGGGACUGGGAGCUCCAAGCUUCUAUCUACAUCUAAGCCAUUUCACCUGCUCUCCAAGGCUUGCAGCAUACUACUAAAAGUAAAUCACACACAGUAAACUAAAGAAAUGAAAAUAAAAGCUGAAGAAGAAAAUGUCAUCUAAGAAAUCUGACAACUCAUAAGUAUGAUGAGGACAAAUCACUUAGGGUCACAGGCAAUACUGAAAAGCUUUUGCUCUACCAAGCAAUGUAUUGAUGGAAGAUGAGGCAAUGAGGCCCAGAAUUGUGCUAGAUGGCAUCAAGACAACUUGGGAUGAAAUUUCUGCUCCAGAUGAUUUAAAAACAAAACUAAACACAAUGCAGGAAGGAGACAAUCAGAUCAGUGUUUUAGAAAGAUAAUCCAUACACAAGUAAGUGAGUAAAGAUGGCCUGUGGUCGCAGAACAGAAAGAAAUGUAUAACAAAAGGACACGUAGAAGAGUUAUGACAGCUUUUAAAAAAUCCAUAAGAACAAGGAAGCAAGUAAUUUGCUGCAAGUUCUGCCACUGAAUCACACUGUCUGGGUCUUUAUUGAUAAUGUGCAGGUAAGGACAACAGUCCUUCCAUAUCUAAACAGACAUUCUGCUCACAAAGGCAAGUAAAGCACUGUCUGCCUUCAAGGAGCUCAUUAGGAUGACCCGGUAAACAAUGAAAUAGCACCUGAUUUUUGUUUUAGAAAAACUCCAGUUAAUUAGUUACUGGACCCACCACUCUAACCUCUACCACAUCUCCUCUCUAACCAACACAGCUGUAGCCCCCAGAAACCCUGAAGUAAGAGCAACAACGUGUUAAGGGACCUGAGGGAAAAUUAGGAUAGGGAAGAGACCAAAAGUCAGCAAGAAUCAAUGAAGAUUAGGAAGAUUUUCCUACAUUUUCUAAAAUAAAACAAUGACAACACAUUAAACGAAUUUCCAUUCCUACUUCAAAUUAAAGCUAUGGGAUCACUACAGUUAAUUUCUAUUUCCCACUCAUGCUGAUCAGAAUAUUCUUAUAAUCUAUCUUCCUCCAAAUUUCACCAAGAAACUUCUAAAUUCAUUUCAAUUUGUGAUUGUCUCUUGCUCCCUCUAU